UUGAUCCCUGGCUCAGGACGAACGCUGGCGGCGUGCCUAAUACAUGCAAGUCGAGCGGAAUGAUGAAGAAGCUUGCUUCUUCUGAUUUUAGCGGCGGACGGGUGAGUAACACGUGGGCAACCUACCUUGUAGAUUGGGAUAACUCCGGGAAACCGGGGCUAAUACCGAAUAAUCCAUUUUGCUUCAUGGCAAGAUGUUGAAAGGCGGCUUCGGCUGUCACUACGAGAUGGGCCCGCGGCGUAUUAGCUAGUUGGUAGGGUAAUGGCCUACCAAGGCGACGAUACGUAGCCGACCUGAGAGGGUGAUCGGCCACACUGGGACUGAGACACGGCCCAGACUCCUACGGGAGGCAGCAGUAGGGAAUCUUCCACAAUGGACGAAAGUCUGAUGGAGCAACGCCGCGUGAGUGAAGAAGGUUUUCGGAUCGUAAAACUCUGUUGUAAGGGAAGAACACGUACGAGAGUAACUGCUCGUACCUUGACGGUACCUUAUUAGAAAGCCACGGCUAA
rnacentral:rRNA from 2 species